GAUGAACGCUGGCGGCGUGCCUAAUACAUGCAAGUCGAGCGAACGGACGAGGAGCUUGCUUCUCUGAUGUUAGCGGCGGACGGGUGAGUAACACGUGGAUAACCUACCUAUAAGACUGGGAUAACUUCGGGAAACCGGAGCUAAUACCGGAUAAUAUUUUGAACCGCAUGGUUCAAAAGUGAAAGACGGUCUUGCUGUCACUUAUAGAUGGAUCCGCGCUGCAUUAGCUAAUUGGUAAGGUAACGGCUUACCAAGGCAACGAUGCAUAGCCGACCUGAGAGGGUGAUCGGCCACACUGGAACUGAGACACGGUCCAGACUCCUACGGGAGGCAGCAGUAGGGAAUCUUCCGCAAUGGGCGAAAGCCUGACGGAGCAACGCCGCGUGAGUGAUGAAGGUCUUCGGAUCGUAAAACUCUGUUAUUAGGGAAGAACAUAUGUGUAAGUAACUGUGCACAUCUUGACGGUACCUAAUCAGAAAGCCACGGCUAACUACGUG
rnacentral:rRNA from 1 species